UACGUAGGUGGCAAGCGAUACUCGGAAUCACUAGGCGUAAAGCGCAGGUAGGCGGUUUGGUAAGUCUUUUGUGAAAGCUCCCGGCUCAACUGGGAGAGGCCAAGGAAAACUGUCGAGCUAGAGUGUGGCAGAGGAAGCUAGAAUUCCUGGUGUAGCGGUGAAAUACGUAGAUAUCAGGAGGAAUACCUAUGGCGAAAGCAGGCUUCUGGGCUAUCACUGACGCUGAUCUGCGAAAGCUAGGGGGAGCAAACAGG
rnacentral:rRNA from 1 species